rnacentral:rRNA from 1 species
AUUGAACGCUGGCGGCAGGCCUAACACAUGCAAGUCGAGCGGAUAAAGGGAGCUUGCUCCUGGAUUCAGCGGCGGACGGGUGAGUAAUGCCUAGGAAUCUGCCUGGUAGUGGGGGAUAACGUCCGGAAACGGGCGCUAAUACCGCAUACGUCCUGAGGGAGAAAGUGGGGGAUCUUCGGACCUCACGCUAUCAGAUGAGCCUAGGUCGGAUUAGCUAGUUGGUGGGGUAAAGGCCUACCAAGGCGACGAUCCGUAACUGGUCUGAGAGGAUGAUCAGUCACACUGGAACUGAGACACGGUCCAGACCCCUACGGGAGGCAGCAGUGGGGAAUAUUGGACAAUGGGCGAAAGCCUGAUCCAGCCAUGCCGCGUGUGUGAAGAAGGUCUUCGGAUUGUAAAGCACUUUAAGUUGGGAGGAAGGGCAGUAAGUUAAUACCUUGCUGUUUUGACGUUACCAACAGAAUAAGCACCGGCUAACUUCGUG